AAUCCUGGCUCAGGAUGAACGCUGGCGGCGUGCUUAACACAUGCAAGUCGAACGGGAAUUACUUUAUUGAAACUUCGGUCGAUUUAAUUUAAUUCUAGUGGCGGACGGGUGAGUAACGCGUGGGUAACCUGCCUUAUACAGGGGGAUAACAGUCAGAAAUGGCUGCUAAUACCGCAUAAGCGCACAGAGCUGCAUGGCUCAGUGUGAAAAACUCCGGUGGUAUAAGAUGGACCCGCGUUGGAUUAGCUUG
rnacentral:rRNA from 1 species